rnacentral:rRNA from 1 species
GAUGAACGCUGGCGGCGUGCCUAAUACAUGCAAGUCGAACGAAGAUGUCUUCGGACAUCUUAGUGGCGAACGGGUGAGUAAUACGUAAGCAACCUGCCCACAAGGACCGGGAUAACUGCUGGAAACGGUAGCUAAGACCGGAUAGGUAUACUGAAGGCAUCUUUGGUAUAUUAAAGGUUAGAAACACAAGUGGAUGGGCUUACGGCGCAUUAGCUAGUUGGUGAGGUAACGGCCCACCAAGGCGAUGAUGCGUAGCCGGCCUGAGAGGGUGAACGGCCACAUUGGGACUGAGACACGGCCCAGACUCCUACGGGAGGCAGCAGUAGGGAAUAUUGGUCAAUGGGCGUGAGCCUGAACCAGCCAAGUAGCGUGCAGGAUGACGGCCCUAUGGGUUGUAAAACUGCUUUUAUAAGGGAAUAAAGUGAGAGUCGUGACUCUUUUUGUCA